rnacentral:rRNA from 1 species
ACGCUCGACACCUACGGGGGCAGCAGUGGGGAAUAUUGCACAAUGGGGGAAACCCUGAUGCAGCGACGCCGCGUGAGCGAAGAAGUAUCUCGGUAUGUAAAGCUCUAUCAGCAGGGAAGAAAAUGACGGUACCUGACUAAGAAGCCCCGGCUAACUACGUGCAGCAGCCGCGGUAAUCUGAGCGGGCUGGCAAGGC